rnacentral:rRNA from 1 species
AGCAGAGUUUGAUCCUGGCUCAGAGCGAACGCUGGCGGCAGGCUUAACACAUGCAAGUCGAGCGGAUGUAGCAAUACAUCAGCGGCAGACGGGUGAGUAACACGUGGGAACGUACCUUUUGGUUCGGAACAACACAGGGAAACUUGUGCUAAUACCGGAUAAGCCCUUACGGGGAAAGAUUUAUCGCCGAAAGAUCGGCCCGCGUCUGAUUAGCUAGUUGGUGAGGUAACGGCCCACCAAGGCGACGAUCAGUAGCUGGUCUGAGAGGAUGAUCAGCCACAUUGGGACUGAGACACGGCCCAAACUCCUACGGGAGGCAGCAGUGGGGAAUAUUGGACAAUGGGCGCAAGCCUGAUCCAGCCAUGCCGCGUGAGUGAUGAAGGCCCUAGGGUUGUAAAGCUCUUUUGUGCGGGAAGAUAAUGACGGUACCGCAAGAAUAAGCCCCGGCUAACUUCGUGCCAGCAGCCGCGGUA